rfam:Homo sapiens chromosome 22, GRCh38 reference primary assembly.
GCUGGGCGUGGUGGCUCACGCCUGUAAUCCCAGCACUUUGGGAGGCUGAGGCGGGUGGAUCACCUGAGGUCAGGAUUUCGAGAGCAGCCUGACCAACAUGGAGAAACCCCAUCUCUA